rnacentral:misc_RNA from 1 species
AACGGUCUAUACCUGCGGUACCUGCGGAGGGAUCAUUACCGAGUUUACAACUCCCAAACCCCCUGUGAACCUAUACCAUUACUGUUGCUUCGGCGGGUCAUUGCCCCGGGGAAAGGACGAGGUGCCGCCUAGGCUCCCCGGCCCGCCCCCGGAAACAGGCGCCUGCCGGGGGAAUCAAACUCUUCUGUAUUUUUUACUUUUACUGUUAUACUGUCUGAGUACAAAGCUAUAAAUGAAUCA